rnacentral:tRNA from 1 species
CAGUAAGUAGUUUAACUAAAACUUUAAUUUUGGAGAUUAAGAUUGGGAGUCAUCUCUUUACUGA